AGGUGAGCCGCCCCCGCUCCGGUCACGCUGCGCUACGCUGAGCCGCGGUCACCCGAGAUCUGCAAGGCCCUGUCUGUCGUCUCCGCACAGCCUCCACCAGCAGACAUCUAAAGAUCUCCAUGAAGAUGAGGUGUCUCAUCAGAGUUGUUGGGACUUACCCACAGAGGGGUCCCUAAAACCAAGGGACAUAGGGUGGUGUUAAGAUGCCUAAGUCCAAUGCCCCCCACUUCAUAGCCUCUAGGUCUCGGUCGUUUCC
rnacentral:lncRNA from 1 species